rnacentral:rRNA from 1 species
GACGUAGGGUCCAAGCGUUGUCCGGAUUUACUGGGCGUAAAGAGCGCGCAGGCGGUCGUUCAAGUCGCGUGUGAAAGCCCCCGGCUCAACUGGGGAGGGUCACGCGAUACUGAUCGACUCGAAGGCAGGAGAGGGUAGUGGAAUUCCCGGUGUAGUGGUGAAAUGCGUAGAUAUCGGGAGGAACACCAGUGGCGAAGGCGACUACCUGGCCUGUUCUUGACGCUGAGGCGCGAAAGCUAGGGGAGCAAACGGG